UACAGAGGUCUCAAGCGUUGUUCGGAUUCAUUGGGCGUAAAGGGUGCGUAGGCGGCGCGGUAAGUCGGGGUGUGAAAUCUUGGAGCUUAACUCCGAAACUGCAUUCGAUACUGCCGUGCUUGAGGACUGGAGAGGAGACUGGAAUUUACGGUGUAGCGGUGAAAUGCGUAGAUAUCGUAAGGAAGACCAGUGGCGAAGGCGGGUCUCUGGACAGUUCCUGACGCUGAGGCACGAAGGCCAGGGGAGCAAACAGG
rnacentral:rRNA from 1 species